GUCCGAUAGCAUCCAUGAGGCUGCCCUCCACAAAGGAAAUGGAAAAAUAAUUUUUUAUGCUUUUACACUUUGUGCUUUCUUGGACAGGAUGUUCCGCUUCUCAAUUAUGUAUUGUCUGAAAGAGUAUUUCCUUUUUUUUUUUUUUUUUUUUUCCCUCUAGCUAAUGCCUGAUUCUUGCACUGUGAGGAAAAAAUAAGCACCCCAUUCGCUUUUUCUGCAAAAUUUUAUACUCUAUUUAUACUCUAUUAAUAUACUUCACUAUUCUCCUUCCUGGACUCAAAAGUUUGCCUUUUUUCUUUGUAUGCUAAAGCCACUCCAUAAUAGUCUCCUUGUUGAAUUUCUUUAGUUUUCCUAAUUCUUACACUAAUACUCAUGCAUGACCAGAAUUUAAUGUAAUGAUUAAGGUGUACAAUGAGUUUAGGGAUUAUAUGGAAUUAAAAUGACUGCUUUGUUUUGUGCUCCUUUUCCAAUGCCUUCUGAUCAUUCUGUUCGGCCUUGGUCUUCUGAGCUCCAGGAUCUGUCAAGAGACCGUUUGUGACUGGCAAAAGAUAACAGGAGAGAAGUAUGAAAGUACAGAGAGAAGAGGAUUCAGAACAAAAAUUAUCGUGGACACUGAUAGCCUGGAAGUCAUGAAAUGACUGGGGUCUGCUGGCCAGCUUGGAAAAUUUGGCUUUAAGUGUAUGCUCACCUACUGAUGUGGAGCCAAGUUUUUGUUCAGACGAUGCAUUCAGCAUGUUCCAGGAUUGGGAGGAACUGAGCGAAUGGAAAAGGAGGGGGCUAUAGCUGUAUCUUCCUGCAGCGGGAGCUGUGGAGCACAACAGCAUUUCCAAGAGCACAGGUUCCUGUUCUGACAGCAUGCCAAGUUUCCAGCCUUACUCUACAUUUUCCCAGUCCUUCCUCAGGUUUCUUUCACUAAAAAUCCUUUUAUCUAUGCCAGCACUGCUCAGAUGUAUUGAGUUCUACUCAGUAAUUUUACCAAGGUCUAAUUUUUUAUUGACACCUACUCAGCAUGCAGAAACACAAGAACUCUGUUUUCAGCCCUGCCAGGUGCAGCGUGUGGCUGCUGGGCUGUAACCUCAGCACCAUCCCAUGGCCACCCUUGCCAGAACAGCACAGAAGAAAUUAUCUCCUGCAGGACUAUCGUAUGUUUGGGACUUCAGUGGUGCUAUUCAAGUCCCUGUAGGCUUCAUGGCAGUGCUGGCCUUGAACUUCAAAUUGAAGCCAUGGUCUGACUGAUUCUUGAAAGUCCUACCAUACAGACUGCAGUUAUUCUGCUGAUGUGCUGUUCCUUUUGGCUAUAAAAGCAUCAGUAUGCUGCACAACCUUGAAAAGAAGAGAAUGCAUAGAAACUGCAGUUAGACUCAUCAGAUGGCACUCCUAGAAUGGAUUUCUGAAGCCUGAUGAUCAUCAGUCUCUCUCCACCCUGUAGAUUUCCCCAGCCCCACAAGCAGGGUGGUAUGACAGAGGACAAGAGUCAUUUAUUUCUCUGCAAUGUCUAGCCUGCCAUCCCUGGCUGUGGAGCAGAGGGCCCCGGAGCAACUUUAUUUGUAGCCUUUCCUUCACUGCAGUCAAUGACAAAGAUGACUGGGAACCCGAGGCUCUAUUGCUUCUCAUUCCCAACAAGUCACAACGGGCACAGUGGUACAUGGCUCAGUGAAGCAAUCGAGUUUUUCAGAGAGUUUGGUGUGUGUUUUGUAAUUCUGUAACCCUGCAGUUUUCCAAGUGGUGGUUCAAUACCAAAAUGAAGAUAAUCCUUUUAAUUCUGCUGAAAUCAAAUAAUUCUAUUCAUUGGUGGCAUUCCUAAAUUAUUUUAUUUUCAAGGGAGAAAAAGCCUUCUCUCAAAUCUCCAAUUACCUACCAUCAUUUUUCUUUUUUUUAUUAUUUCACCUUCUUAAAACAUGUUUGGUGAUUGUAGAAGCAUUGUUUUAUUUGAGAUUACUCCUGAUUUAUAAUGGUAUAGUUAAUAAAAUCAGUGAAAAAUCAGAAAUUACAGCUGAACAGUGACCACUGUUUCAUGAUAAAAAAUGGCAGUAGUAACUUAAAACUUUCUCAAUACCCCUGUGCCCCUCACCUGUUCCAACAAAAUUGCUUGCAGGGCUUCUUAACUAAGGUUCUUUAAAAAGUCGUCAGCACUAAGUCAAGGAACUGACUGGAGUUAAAAAAGAAUUAUUGAUUGUGAUAAUCACUAGCACAUUCAGUUGCUAGCAUAACUGAAUGGCUGGCAUACCACAGGCAGAAGAGGCAACAGGAGCAGGGAAGCAGGAAUACCUCAUGCUGAUAAUGGUGCCUGGACAGCAGCUAAAUAACAGCCUGUGUAAGAUCAAAACUGAGAGCAGGAUUGUAACACCCAUUGAGCCAAUUCUCAAAUAUCUGUGUUUAGAUUGUCUUCAUUGCAGAUUAUCUGUGCCACAAAUGUAAACCAACCACCCUGCAUCCAGCAUAGGUAUUAGCUGAAGCUCAUGACUGUACAAACAUCUCUUGCUAGACUGUGCCUGGCUUGGAAACAAUACAUGCACCUUCCUGCAGAGACAGAGAUCAUAAAUUCUGUCAAACCAAUGUGGCCUCUGUGAAAAAACAGCUGAAGUUUUUCCUCACUGUGUUCCCAGAACCAGGAUGACAGACAGCAUGCUGCAGUCACACCGCAUUGCUUUCCCUCAGGAACAGCUCAAACCUAGCUGGGCUUCAGGCCAGCUGUAGGCGCCUUCAUGUGGAAAUGAUCCCCAGCAGGCAGGAUUAUGGGAGGCCUUUUAGGUCAGGUGAAUAUGAUACACAUGCACGGAUCCGGUUUGGAUAUCUGACCCAACAAACUCUCCCACAGGCAAGACAGCAUUGAAACAUCAACAGCAAGAAUCCUGGCCAGUUCCUGGAGGAAAGUAUGGGAGCAGAAUGGAAAGGCCAAAAUGUCAUAGGUGACACCACCAGUGAGGCAUUUACACUAUUAAGUAUUACUUGCAAAAGAAAAUGGGAAACAUUACAAUUAGGAGGAGAAGGGUGUUGAGAAAUAUCCCAUCUUCGGGUCAGCUCCAGCCCAUUUGAAUUGCAUGACCCUGAGGAUUCAGCUGAAGUUAUAAGAAUCACUUAUAAAUCACCUUGGUUGUUUGCUACAGUGCUAACACUGUAACAAGCACAGUUGUUUUGUACAAACUAUGAUCACCUCUCAGUUUUAGUUCUGGAUAGCAUUUUAGUAGCUGAUUAUUCUGUUUUAUUUGUAUUGCAACACAAAUGUGCUUACCAUUUUGGAUUGUUUUGAAAGAACAUCGUUUGCCGUAGAAACGCAAGCCAACUUACAACUGAGCACAAGUAAUUUUACUUCAGCGUAAUCACUGUCGCAGUUUCCCCUAAAUGGAUGAUCAAAAAUUCACAACUAAUUAUUUUCACACUAUAUUCAGAUAAAGUGCAUAACUUCAUAAAAAGAAGUUAGCUUCAGGACUUGCAGUUCUGUGUGUCUUGUUCUGUGUGCCUGCCCUGUAUAAGCAAUACCAAACAAAGCCAAACAAGCUGUUGGCCUGUCCCUAUGUUGCAAUCUUGUGGAAUAUCAUAUUCUCUAGAAAUGUCAAUUCCUUUUAGCUGCAAGAGUUGCUCAGAUUUCUACAUCUUUAAGCAUUUUUCCAUUAGGAAAAGAAAUUAAUGACAUUUGCUAUGAUCCUUGUUUUUUUAGGAAUAAUGGGCAUUACAACUUAAUUUAUGGAGUACAAAGAAAUUCACAUGAAUAGGAGCAAUUUAUUUGCCUGUAGUUCCCAGACUUUUUGUAGACAGCUGUAUUCUAAAAAUCUUCCUUCCAGCAUUUCUGACGUCACACAGACAGAAUUAGAGCAACUUCCCAAUGACUUCCUCAGUUCUGAAACGAUUUCUAAAUUCUCAGAAAAUCAGCUGAACUCUUUGACCCUUCUAUUGUCUGCAUCUACACAGGGCCCAGGGUGAGCACAAUAUUUUCUACUGCCCAUUAUGCAAAUCAAAGAUGUCAUUGUUUCUUGUGGUCUCUGAAUGGAAAGUGGCUCUCAUGGCCCCUACUUUGGAUGAAAUGGUUGAACUGUCCAAAGUCCAACAUGGUUAGCAUGCUCUUCAAACUUCAUUUUUUCAUAUUGUCAAGCAGAUCUCUUUGGAAUCGUACAGAAUCUCUUAUCUUAGCCAGACAGCACAGGCAAUCCCAUGUGGCCAUCCACUGAAGCCAAGAGAAUUACUGCAGGGAUGGAUCUGGCAGUACAGUGUGUUGAACUGAGUUCCCUUAAGCAAGAAAUCAGCACAAAUGUACAAAUCCAACUGUGUCUGAGGGCUCUGUUUUGCAGCCAUCUGUACAGGCUUCUAUUGUUAAACAGAAGUAAACCAAAUGUUAGACUAAAUGACACUCGUUGAUUUAUGUAUGAAGGUAAAAAAAAUACACAUAAUUAUGAAAGCUGAAAAUAACUAGAUAAAAUUGGUUUGAAUUAUUAUAAAACCCAAAAAACAUUAUGUUUCAGCAAAACACUAAGCAUCCACCCUAAGACAUGUUGACAUUGCAAAUUAACACCAGAUUCCCAACAUGACAUCUUAAGAUAAUCUGGUCUAAAAGACACAGCCAGCUGAAGGCAGUUUGCUGUACGUCAGUUUCUCAGACAAAACAAGAGAGCUGAAAUGUCUCCUCCUUUGUAAUGGUACAUAAAAUCUUGCAUCGUUUUUGUAGAAUAAAGAAUGUGCUUGAUUACUGUUUGCCAAAUCAAUAAGUAAUUGCAUAGUGAAACAUAUUGCUACAGAAAACCACCAAGGUCAAGAACUGAGUAAAUUCUAAAAAUGUACAUGAAUACCAAACUACCUGGAGCUGCGGCUGUUCACAAUCAUUCUGGAAGCUUUUUAACAAGUCACGCUUCAAAGUUAAGGAAAUAUUUUACAGUUGAAGUGUAGAAUACAAUCCUUCACGGGAUGGACUGAUUCCUCUUACCAGCAGCAAGUUCAAGGACCUCAUCUUGCCAUAGAUACAGAAAGAUACUGACCCAAUCUGAUCUCCAAUCUGAUGCAGAACAGCAUUUUCUACAUAGCAACCUCGGAGCUUUCUGUGAUCCCCCUGCUGUUUUGGAGUUGAAAAAAGCAGAGUGGAUGCCAAUUUCAGUUAAUUUUUUUGCCAUUUUGUUUUAUCAGUAACAACCAUUUUAAGGAUAAGCCACAUAAAUAAUAU